rnacentral:rRNA from 1 species
GACGAACGCUGGCGGUGUGCUUAACACAUGCAAGUGGUGCGACGAGCCAGAGCUUGCUCUGGGGCAAAACCGCGAACGGGUGAGUAACACGUUGGUAAUCUACCCCGAUGACCAGGACAACCCGAGGACACUCGGGCUAAUACCGGGUGUGGUUCAGAGCCAUAAGUCUCUUCACUAAAGGUAGCUUCGGCUUCCGCAUUGGGAGCGGCCCGCGGCCCAUUAGCUUGUUGGUAGGGUCAAGGCCUACCAAGGCAACGAUGGGUAGCUGGUCUGAGAGGACGAUCAGCCACACUGGGACUGAGACACGGCCCAGACUCCUACGGGAGGCAGCAGUGGGGAAUCUUGCGCAAUGCGCGAAAGCGUGACGCAGCAACACCGCGUGAGGGAAGAAGGCCUUAGGGUUGUAAACCUCUUUCAGAUGGGACGAAGGUUCUCCGGUGAAUAGCCGAGAGGAUUGACGGUACCGUCAGAAGAAGCUCCGGCUAACUACGUG